CCUACGGGAGGCAGUAGUAGGGAAUCUUCCACAAUGGGCGAAAGCCUGAUGGAGCAACGCCGCGUGGGUGAAGAAGGUCUUCGGAUCGUAAAACUCUGUUGUUAGAGAAGAAAAAGCGUGAGAGUAACUGUUCACGUUUCGACGGUAUCUAACCAGAAAGCCACGGCUAACUACGUGCCAGCAGCCGCGGUAAUACGUAGGUGGCAAGCGUUAUCCGGAUUUAUUGGGCGUAAAGGGAACGCAGGCGGUCUUUUAAGUCUGAUGUGAAAGCCUUCGGCUUAACCGGGGUAGUGCAUUGGAAACUGGAAGACUUGAGUGCAGAAGAGGAGAGUGGAACUCCAUGUGUAGCGGUGAAAUGCGUAGAGAUAUGGAAGAACACCAGUGGCGAAAGCGACUCUCUGGUCUGUAACUGACGCUGAGGUUCGAAAGCGUGGGUAGCAAACAGGAUUAGAUACCCUAGUAGUC
rnacentral:rRNA from 1 species